UAUGGUCCUCGUGUCAUACAAUAACCUGAAAUUGCUCCUGGAAACCAAAGGAAUUGGCAAUGGAGAGGUUGAGAGCUGCGCGUCGUCUCCUUCAUUACUCAUCAUCGAAGUCCCUCUUUGGUCCUCGAUCGAAUCCAACUUCCGCAGAGCAUCCACUACGUCGCUCUGCCUCGGGCGUUUGGUAUUGGUGCCCAUAUAUUGCGGAUCAAAAGGGGAGAUUCGGAGGAACUUUUUGGGGUCCUACUGUGGGGACAGGCCUUGGAAAGACGAUCAGAAUCCAGAAUAGACGCUUUGGUUCAUUGGCAGCAACGAUUCAGAGGAACCCAUCAUUUUCGACUCUGAAUUCCGAUGAUAUAAGUUAUUUUAAGGGCGUAUUAGGCGAGAAAAAUGUCAUUCAGGAUGAGGACUGGCUUCUUUCUGCAAACACGGACUGGAUGCGGAAGUACAACGGGUCCAGUAAGCUUCUACUACAACCGAGGAGCACUGAGGAGGUCUCUCGGGUUCUUAAAUACUGUAAUUCCAGAAGCUUGGCUGUUGUACCCCAGGGUGGAAAUACUGGCCUUGUCGGUGGAAGUGUUCCUGUUUUUGAUGAAGUGAUUAUUAAUAUGGGUUCAAUGAAUAACAUCGUAUCUUUUGACGAGGUCAGUGGUAUAUUGGUAUGUGAAGCAGGGUGCAUUUUGGAAAACCUGAUUUCUUUUCUGGACAACCAGGGAUUUAUUAUGCCACUGGACUUGGGUGCAAAAGGAAGCUGCCAGAUUGGUGGAAAUGUUUCAACUAAUGCUGGUGGUUUGCGUCUUGUUCGUUAUGGAUCUCUUCAUGGAAAUGUACUUGGUAUUGAAGUUGUUUUAGCAAACGGUGAUGUGCUUGACAUGCUUGGGACUCUAAGGAAAGAUAAUACAGGGUAUGAUUUAAAGCAUUUAUUUAUAGGAAGUGAAGGAUCCUUGGGAAUUAUAACCAAGGUUUCCAUUCUUACUCCUCCAAAACUAUCUUCAGUGAAUCUCGCUUUUCUUGCAUGUAAAGACUAUUCCAGCUGCCUGAAACUUCUACUGGAAGCAAAGAGGAGACUUGGGGAGGUUUUAUCUGCAUUUGAAUUUUUGGAUAAUCAGUCACUGGAUCUGGUUCUGAAUCAUUUGGAAGGUGUUAGGAAUCCAUUACCUCCCUCAAUGCACAACUUCUAUGUUCUGAUUGAGACAACUGGCAGUGAUGAAUCUUAUGACAAGGAAAAGCUUGAAGCUUUCCUACUUCGCUCCAUGGAAGGUGGUUUGAUUUCCGAUGGUGUUCUUGCACAAGACAUAAACCAAGCUUCAUCAUUUUGGCGUAUACGUGAGGGUGUACCAGAGGCACUCAUGAAAGCAGGAGCUAUUUACAAAUAUGAUUUGUCAUUACCUGUUGAAAAGAUGUACAAUCUUGUUGAGGAAAUGCGAAUAAGGCUUGGUGAUUCAUCUAAAGUAAUUGGAUAUGGUCACCUUGGAGAUGGAAAUUUGCAUCUUAAUAUUUCAACUCCACAGUAUGACGAUAUGAUUUUAGCUCAAAUUGAGCCCUUUGUCUAUGAAUGGACAUCUAAGCACCGUGGGAGUAUUAGUGCAGAGCAUGGCUUGGGACUGAUGAAAGCUAAUAAGAUUUUCUACAGCAAAUCACGCGAAAGUGUGCAACUAAUGGCUUCCAUCAAGAAGUUGAUGGACCCCAAUGGCAUACUGAACCCAUAUAAAGUUCUUCCGCACUCCCUUUCUUACGGCUGAGAAGGUAGUUGGGGAACGAACAACAGCCUUGUGAAUUAAGCCGGUUUUACCCGAAAUGAGGGACUGGCUUUCCUGGGUGAAGAGGGAUAACAUUGUUUAAUAUUCCUUUAAGAAACCUCAUGUCACAAAUCAAUCAAUAUCAAGUCCAAAGCUCAAUCGACCACACCCUGAGGUAGCCAGAAACAUGGUCUGGUCUCAAGUUGGAGCAAGUGGACUGACCUGAGCUACAGGCUAGUAGGAUGCAAGUCUAACUUCAUGGGGGUAAACUACAAUUUACAAAAGUUUGAGAUGCUCUUUAGUAACAAGCAUCUGACUGGAGAAAGAAGUUGUAAUACAGAUCACUACUGUGGCAAUUGACAGAUUGCAAACUCCAUUCCGUGACAAUAAGCUGUGUGUGUUAGGGUACCUGAAAGGUAUUGAAUACUCGAUGAAUCAGAGUCACUUUCAUGUUUA